GACGAACGCUGGCGGCGUGCUUAACACAUGCAAGUCGAACGGAAAGGCCCUGCUUUUGUGGGGUGCUCGAGUGGCGAACGGGUGAGUAACACGUGAGCAACCUGCCCUUGACUUUGGGAUAACUUCAGGAAACUGGGGCUAAUACCGGAUAGGAGCUCCUGCUGCAUGGUGGGGGUUGGAAAGUUUCGGCGGUUGGGGAUGGACUCGCGGCUUAUCAGCUUGUUGGUGGGGUAGUGGCUUACCAAGGCUUUGACGGGUAGCCGGCCUGAGAGGGUGACCGGCCACAUUGGGACUGAGAUACGGCCCAGACUCCUACGGGAGGCAGCAGUGGGAAAUAUUGCACAAUGGGCGGAAGCCUGAUGCAGCAACGCCGCGUGCGGGAUGACGGCCUUCGGGUUGUAAACCGCUUUCGCCUGUGACGAAGCGUGAGUGACGGUAAUGGGUAAAGAAGCACCGGCUAACUACGUGCCAGCAGCCGCGGUGAUACGUAGGGUGCGAGCGUUGUCCGGAUUUAUUGGGCGUAAAGGGCUCGUAGGUGGUUGAUCGCGUCGGAAGUGUAAUCUUGGGGCUUAACCCUGAGCGUGCUUUCGAUACGGGUUGACUUGAGGAAGGUAGGGGAGAAUGGAAUUCCUGGUGGAGCGGUGGAAUGCGCAGAUAUCAGGAGGAACACCAGUGGCGAAGGCGGUUCUCUGGGCCUUUCCUGACGCUGAGGAGCGAAAGCGUGGGGAGCGAACAGGCUUAGAUACCCUGGUAGUCCACGCUGUAAACGGUGGGUACUAGGUGUGGGGUCCAUUCCACGGGUUCCGUGCCGUAGCUAACGCUUUAAGUACCCCGCCUGGGGAGUACGGCCGCAAGGCUAAAACUCAAAGGAAUUGACGGGGCCCCGCACAAGCGGCGGAGCAUGCGGAUUAAUUCGAUGCAACGCGUAGAACCUUACCUGGGUUUGACAUGGAUCGGGAGUGCUCAGAGAUGGGUGUGCCUCUUUUGGGGUCGGUUCACAGGUGGUGCAUGGCUGUCGUCAGCUCGUGUCGUGAGAUGUUGGGUUAAGUCCCGCAACGAGCGCAACCCUUGUUCACUGUUGCCAGCACGUUAUGGUGGGGACUCAGUGGAGACCGCCGGGGUCAACUCGGAGGAAGGUGGGGAUGACGUCAAGUCAUCAUGCCCCUUAUGUCCAGGGCUUCACGCAUGCUACAAUGGCUGGUACAGAGAGUGGCGAGCCUGUGAGGGUGAGCGAAUCUCGGAAAGCCGGUCUCAGUUCGGAUUGGGGUCUGCAACUCGACCUCAUGAAGUCGGAGUCGCUAGUAAUCGCAGAUCAGCAACGCUGCGGUGAAUACGUUCCCGGG
rnacentral:rRNA from 1 species